CGUUCCUCUAACUUUAAAGGUGGUAGAUUAUUUUUUUUUGUAACAAAACUGUCUAUAAACGAUAUAAUUUUUAAAUUAGAUAGGUUAGGGUUAUUUUUUUUUUUUAGUAACAAAAUUGUCGAUAAACGGUGUAAAUUUUGAAUUAGAUAGGUUAGGGUUAUUUUUUUUUUUUAUGUAACAAAACUAUGUUUAUAAACGAUAUAAUUUUUAAAUUAGAUAGGUUAGGGUUAUUUUUUUUUUUUUUUUAGUAACAAAAUUGUCGAUAAACGGUGUAACUUUUGAAUUAGAUAGGUUAGGGUUAUUUUUUUUUUUUUUUUUUUGUAACAAAACUAUGUUUAUAAACGAUAUAAUUUUUAAAUUAGAUAGGUAUGGGUUUCUUUCGGUCUCUUUCUGAAGUCAGAUUAUUGUAAAAAAAAAUUAUUCAUGUCAUGUUUUUUACUUCAUUAUAUUUUAUUUAUUUAAUUAAAAAAUAUAAUAUGAAACAAGGCUGUAUGGUGUAAGACUUUUGCCUUUACAGUUAUUUAAACAAAAACAAUGAAUUUGUGCUUAUAUUGUUUUAGAACGAAACGAUAAGUGGCCUGUCAUUUUUUAUUAAAACGUCUAUUUCUCAGUUGUUAAUAAAAUCGUGUAAAAACAAUAACUUAACGUUUAAAAUGCUAAUAUCAAGUGCGAAAUGUGA
rnacentral:misc_RNA from 1 species